AUGCGGAUAUAAAUCGGCAAGUAUUGUAUUUUUGUAACCCUGAUACAUCAACCGCAUAUGAGCAUAUUUAGGCAGCACGGCAGUUGUUCAUUAGACACCGGCGGCAAGCUUGGGUUUUAAACGACGCGGCAA